rnacentral:tRNA from 1 species
AUUUAAGUAGUUUAAUAAAAAUAUUGAUUUGUGGAGUCAGUGAUGUAAUAUGUUACCUUAAAUU